rnacentral:rRNA from 1 species
AGACAAUAGAUACCCGGGUAGUCCACGCCCUAAACGAUGUCAACUGGCUUUACGGAGUAUCGGCCCUCUGUGAGGCGAAAGCUAAACGCGUUAAGUUGACCGCCUGGGUAGUACGACCGCAAGGUUAAAACUCAAAGGAAUAGACGGGGGCUUGCACAAGCGGUGGAGCGUGUGGCUUAAUUCGUCGCUAAGCGAAGAACCUUACCAGGGCUAGAAAUCCUACUGCACGUCUAGCGAAAGCUAGAAAGCCUUCGAGGGUGUAGGACAGGUGAUGCAUGGCUGUCGUCAGUUCGUGGUUUGAAUCGUUCCCUUCAGUGGGGUAACGAACGCAACCCUCGUUGCCAGUUACAAGUGUCUGGCGAGACUGCCCCCUCACGGGGGAGGAAGGUGAGGAUGACGCCAAGUCAGCAUGUCCCUCUGAUGUCCUGGGGCUGCACACGCGCUACAAUCGCCUUUACAAAGGGACGCAAUGCGGUAACGCGGAGCAAAUCCUAAAAAGAGGCGCCAGUUCGGAUUGGGGU